GGGUGUUUUAAAGAUGUGUAGAUGAGAAACUCAAGAUUUGCCAAAUUUCUGUUUUGCAGGAGGUCUUAUUCCAGGAUUGGUAAUUAUCAUUUAAUGGAGAGAAGCUUUAAGUUUGACAAUGAAAUUCUACAUGCAUCUGGAAUUUCAAGACACAAUGAAGAGAUGAACAUGUGCAAACGAGAAAGAGUACCCUUACCAGACAGACACUAGAGCUCGCAGAAAUUUGAUCUUGGACUUCCCAGCCUCUAGAACUGUGAGAAAUAAAUGUUUGUUGUUUAUGACA